rnacentral:rRNA from 1 species
UACGUAGGGGGCAAGCGUUGUCCGGAAUCAUUGGGCGUAAAGAGUGUGUAGGCGGCCCGAUAAGUCCGCUGUGAAAGUCCAGGGCUCAACCCUGGGAUGCCGGUGGAUACUGUCGGGCUCGAGUCCGGAAGAGGAGUGUGGAAUUCCUGGUGUAGCGGUGAAAUGCGCAGAUAUCAGGAGGAACACCAAUGGCGAAGGCAGCACUCUGGGACGUGACUGACGCUGAGACGCGAAAGCGUGGGGAGCAAACAGG